rnacentral:lncRNA from 1 species
CUGCUCAGUGUCACUGCUCAGUGUCUACUGGCUCCUCAGUCGAUACCAGAAGCUCGAGGCCAAGCUUUCACCACUUGGGGGACAUUUCAGACUCAAAGGGCGGUGACACUAAAAAGUAGCUGGGGCAUUUGGCCCAUGCAGAAGUGUCCAGUGUAUAAGAAGCUUCCGGGAGGAUCCUUCCUUCUCGAAGAGGCUAGAAGAUGACGUGUCUUCAGGUAUGACCAGGAAGACAGUGAUCUUUGGACAUCUUGGCUUUCCUCAGGUGAGCUCUGUAUGGCAAGGGCAUCAUCGCAGGCACAUGGCAGUGAACUGUUAGUUACUGUGUCUGUUCCACUGUUCCUAGGCCAAGGUUGAACCUCACUGAGAAAGUCCCCAAGGAACUAGACUAGACUUUGGUUAGGAGGCAGGGCUUUGACAAUUCCCAGUCUAUUGUUCAGAGCCGUGUCUCUGUGACCACUUUAACUAGGGGUGCCUGAUACCCAAAACCAAGUGUGUGGUGGGAGAGCCGGAUAUAAACUUCCAGUCCUCUAAGUGGUACUGCUUUGAGUUCCUGAUCUGCUGCCAGGCUUGGGUCUUGGCUAACUGUGAAGUUUGUGAGGAAGGUAAAGGCACCGGGGUAGCCCUAGCUUCCUGCAGGCAGAUAGGAGGUGAGUUAUGUCUUUAAGAGCAUCCAACUUGGGUUUGAUUCCACACAUGGUUAAGAGAUUCACAGAGUAUAGCUGUUUGUUUAUAAUAUGAAAGGGAUGCUAAUUUUAUCACACACAAUAUAUGGCACGAAAGCCUUCAAACUAUAUUGUUUUGGUAAGCUGUUUAAAAGGUGACUCUUUUCCAUUGUGAAAGGGACUGUGUUAAAGGGAGGUAAUCUACGUGGGGGGUCUUUGAAGCAGCCACUUGUCUUUGGAGUUGGUGUUAUGGUUUAUAGUAUGAUGUGUUUGCAAAAAUGCUGUGCACUUCCCCCCUUAAGUAAAUUAAUUCAAGAAAACAAAUGACUGCUAAUAUAAAUAUGUAUUUUGGCAUAGGAAACCAAACC